GUGCUCGCUUUUGCAGCACAUAUACUAAAAUUGGAAUGAUACAGAGAAGAUUA
rnacentral:snRNA from 1 species